rnacentral:rRNA from 1 species
CGAGCACGCGCGUGUGGCAUAUCAAUAAGCGGAGGAAAAGAAACUAACAAGGAUUCCCUUAGUAACGGCGAGUGAAGCGGGAAGAGCUCAAAUUUGAAGUCUUCAAGGUUCUACCUUGACGAAUUGUAGUUUAUAGAAGUGUUUUCUGUUAGUAGAGUGGCAAAAGUUCUUUGGAAUAGGACAUCAUAGAGGGUGAGAAUCCCGUAUUUGGUCAUUCCUUCUAGCGUUGUGAUACACUUUCAACGAGUCGGAUUGUUUGGGAAUGCAGUCCAAAAUGGGUGGUAAAUUUCAUCUAGAGCUAAAUAUUGGCGAGAGACCGAUAGCGAACAAGUACCGUGAGGGAAAGAUGAAAAGAACUUUGAAAAGGGAGUUAAACAGUACGUGAAAUUGUCAAAAGGGAAGCGUUUGACACCAGUGUUGUUUUUCCGAAAAUCAAUUACGAAUGUUUUGUUUUUAAGAAGUUAUGACUUCAUCGGCUUGCUUCUUUCUUUACGAAACUUUCUUAAUGCACUUUUCGGUUAACAAGUCAACAUCAAUUUCUUUUGUUGUAAAAGGGUAUGAGGAAGGUGGCUUUCUUUUCGGAGAAAGUGUUUAUAGCCUUUGGCUUCUACAAUCGGAGAGAUUGAGGUCUGCAGCGUAGAUCCUUCGGGGUUAGAUACGUAGAUGCUAAGUUAUAGUUUUUUAUAGACAACUUGUUGACUAUGAUUAAUCAUGUAGCUUACUCGUUUACGCUAUUUUACCUACGCUUAGGAUGUUGA